rnacentral:rRNA from 1 species
AACGAACGCUGGCGGCGCGCUUAACACAUGCAAGUCGAACGAGAAGGCGUAGCAAUACGCUUGUACAGUGGCGAACGGGUGAGUAAUACGUGGGCGACCUACCCUCGAGUGGGGAAUAACCCGCCGAAAGGCGGGCUAAUGCCGCGUACGCUUCCAUCUUUAUGGAGGUGGAAGGAAAGCCGUGCUGUGGGGCACGGCGCUCAAGGAUGGGCUCACGUCCUAUCAGCUUGUUGGAGGGUAACGGCCUACCAAGGCUCCGACGGGUAGCUGGUCUGAGAGGACGAUCAGCCACACUGGCACUGCGACACGGGCCAGACUCCUACGGGA